rnacentral:rRNA from 1 species
UACGUAGGGCGCAAGCGUUGUCCGGAAUUAUUGGGCGUAAAGAGCUCGUAGGCGGUUUGUCGCGUCUGCUGUGAAAUCCCGAGGCUCAACCUCGGGCUUGCAGUGGGUACGGGCAGACUAGAGUGCGGUAGGGGAGACUGGAAUUCCUGGUGUAGCGGUGGAAUGCGCAGAUAUCAGGAGGAACACCGAUGGCGGAAGGCAGGGUCUC